GCUCCCGUAGCUCAGUUGGAUUAGAGCACGUCCCUCCUAAGGACGGGGUCGCAGGUUCGAGUCCUGUCGGGGGCA
rnacentral:tRNA from 1 species